rnacentral:tRNA from 5 species
CGCGGGAUGGAGCAGUUGGCAGCUCGUCGGGCUCAUAACCCGAAGGUCACAGGUUCGAGUCCUGUUCCCGCUA